UAAGAGUUGGGCUGAAAUUUAAACUCUCAGACAGACUCUUCAAGGGCAGGAUUGGACACCUCUGUUCUAAAGAUGAAAGGCUAUCUGAAGGAUCUUCUAAGACAUUUAACAUGACCCCAUUCAUUUAUCUUGUCAGACUUCACCAGGUGCAAUCCAGAAAAUCCAGGAAGUCAUAAAGAAUUUCAAAAUAACAUCUGAAGACAUGUGGGAUUUUUCACCAUGGGUAACGUCAGGUUUCAUGCCUCAACCAUCAAGAAAAAAAAUGGUUUUCAUGUGAAGAUAGCCAAGAAGAAACCAUUGCUCUCUAAAAAGAACAAUGCCAUCCAUCUCAUUUACCAAUGAUCAACUGGAUGAUCCACAAGACUGGAACAACUGGAAUGAUUUUGUCUGGACAA